UUCGGCGUUACCAGGAGAGACAUGCCGCCAUUAGGGCUUCAUUUCCCUGUAGUCUUCUUUAAAUACCAAAACUGCCCUGGGAAGGUUAAGACAUCAGUUUCUUCAUACUUUAGAGCAAAUGGGAUUGAUUCCCAGGUCCUCCUUUCUGUAAACUGGGUUUUUGCCUCCUCACCAAGAGACUGGGCUCCCUGGACGAGCAGAGGCUGCUGGGUUCAGUAUCUGAACACUUUUGCUGAAGGUCUCUGGAAAGCUCCCUGUGUUAAUUCUGGAUGAGACUAUGUCCGGGCCAGCCACUUCCUGAGCCUCCUUCCGUGUGCAUUGGCCUGCUGCAUGCUGGAGACCCGCGGCACAGCUGCCAAGUGCCCCUGUGUGGCUCUGUGAUCUUGGGACAGUCACUUCCUCUCUCUGGUUGUCAGUCUUCUCAUCCGUAAGAUGGAAUAAAAAGGCCUACCUCAUUGGGCUCGUGUGGGUGAGGAGAACUGAAGAAUCUGAGAGCGCGGCACGAGCCAGAGGCUACGGAAAACACUGCCCUCCCAUGCUCCACCUUGGAGAGACCCAGAAAAGAACAAGCUUCAUUUGAAAAAAAGGAAAACAGCUCAGGCAAUGGGGGUGGCUUAAAGGCACUCUACAGUGUGCGGAUGCCUUCCGCUUCUUCCAUCUGCCCUGUCUCUCCAAGAACCCCUAUGGCCCCGGGGUCAGAGCAGAGCUGAGUGCAGAAAUGAAAAUCUAUGGCCAUGUGUUCCAAAACGAUGAAGAAUUUCAAGAUGGUGGCAGUGGUAAAAUCCUCCUCCAGGAAAAAUCUGUCCUUGGGCCAAUGUGUAAACACUUGCUGAGGAACUUGGAGUAACUUGCAGCGUCUUGCAGUAUUGUGAAACCAACAGCUUGUUCACAAUUCUUCUGAAUUUCUCGGGCAAUUUGAAGUGGAGUACCUGUACCAAUGUGAAAUGACACAAAUUUCAGUGAAGCUCAACAACGAAAAGCAAAAAGAAACAAAGAGGAAGCAACUGAAACAACAUCUAGAUGUAUUUAAAAAUAUACAAUGCCUCCAAAAUCAGGUGUCAUUAAUGAAAAUUCUGAAGAAAUGCCACCAGACAUAGCCAAUGCACCUAUACUAUUGUUAUUCAUUUCCUGCUUUUCACAGAAAACAAUUUUGUUGCAUGGAAGAUUGUGAACUUCAAAGGGCAGAGGGGAAACUCUCCCUUGGCCCCUACCCCUCCAAGGCCCCACUUUUUCGUCAACACUCCUUGGACGCAGCUGAGGUAUGAACAUGACGUGGUCCUGAAUGAGGCUGAGUCUUUGGGCACGGAAGACCCGGGUUAAUAAAAACAGGAAGGUAAGAAAAGAAAAGAAAAAUCAAGACACAUCAUAGGACUAAAUUCCUAUUAUUUAUCCACUCAAGAUUGACCACCCCUUUGGGCCAGACAGUCGUACCCCCAUGUACCAGGUGGGCACAUGAAGACAUAAGAAGUGCUGUGAUGGUUCAUUUUGCAUGUCACCUUGCGUGGAGUAUGCCGACUCAUUGUUUGGUCAAACACUAGUCUGGUCAUGGUGGUAAAGGUAUUUUUUUAGAUGAAAUUAACGCUUAAAUCAGUAAAGCAGGUUACCCACCAUACUACAGGUGGGCCUUGUCCAAUCAGUUGAAGGCAUUAAGAGCAAAGAUUGAGGUUUCCUAAAGAAGAUGGAAUUCUCCUUGAGACUACAACAUAGAAACCCUGUCUGAGUGUCCAGCCUGCUGCCCUGUGGAAUUCGAACUCAGGACUCCAGUCUGUGGCAUUAACCCUCACUUAACUCUUCAGCCUGCCAGCCUGCCCUGUGGAUUUCGGACUUGCCAGCCACACAAUUCCUUAAAAUAAAUCUCUGUCUCUGUCUGUU